rnacentral:rRNA from 1 species
AUUGAACGCUGGCGGCGUGCUUAACACAUGCAAGUCGCACGAAGUGGCGCACGGGUGAGUAACGCGUAAUCAACCUGCCCUUCAGAGGUGGACAACAGUUGGAAACGACUGCUUAUACCCCAUACUGAAGGAGGGGAUUGCGUCUGAUUAGCUAGUUGGAGGGGUAACGGCCCACCAAGGCGAUGAUCAGUAGCCGGUCUGAGCGGAGGAGCUGCCACAUUGGUACUGAGACACGGCCCAGACUCCUACGGGAGGCAUCAGUGGGGAUUCUUCCGCAAUGGACGAAAGUCUGACGGAGCAACGCCGCGUGAUGGAUGACGGCCUUCGGGUUGUAAAGCUCUGUUAAUCGGGACGCGGUACCGGAAUAGAAAGCAACGGCUAACUACGUGCCAGCAGCCGCGGUAAUUG